CCUACGGGAGGCAGCAGUGAGGAAUAUUGGUCAAUGGGCUUACGCCUGAACCAGCCAAGUCGCGUGAGGGAAGACUGCCCUAUGGGUUGUAAACCUCUUUUGUCAGGGAGCAAUUGUCGCUACGUAUAGCGUUAUCUAUAGUACCUGCAGAAAAAGCAUCGGCUAACUCCUUGCCAGCAGCCGCGUUAAUACGAAGGAUGCGAGCGUUAUCCGGAUUUAUUGGGUUUAAAGGGUGCGUAGGCGGCAUGCAAAGUCAGCGGUAAAAUCGCGGGGCUAAACCUACCUCCGCAGUUGAAACUGGCGUUCUUGAGUGGGCGAGAGGUAUGCGGAAUGCGUGGUGUAGCGGUGAAAUGCAUAGAUAUCACGCAGAACUCCGAUUGCGAAGGCAGCAUACCGGAGCCCAACUGACGCUGAAGCACGAAAGCGUGGGUAUCGAACAGGAUUAGAUACCCCGGUAGUC
rnacentral:rRNA from 1 species